rnacentral:pre_miRNA from 1 species
AGGUCAUGUAGGCGAAGGAAUAUGUGCAGCAUAUCUUGUACUCUCUCGCCUCCAUGACCUGA